UUUUAAUUUUGUUUAUGCAUCGGGUUUCAUCUUUAUUAUUUUAAUUGUUGAUAUCGGCGGCAGCAAUAGAUUUCAGUCCGCUCACAGACGCUUUAGCUUCCAAAUCCUACGAAAAGAUCGCUGAUAUCUGUGAUGAACUUAUACUCAAGGCUACCGCAGAGCUGGAGGAGGCUCCAUUCGACGAAGAAUGGCCUUUUGCUAUCCAUCUUCUCUCCCAUAUUUAUGCCAACGAUAUUAACAGCGCAAGAUUUCUGUGGAAAUCAAUACCGUCAACGGUGAAAGAGAGGCAACCAGAAGUGGGUCUCAACAAACUCAAUCGCUUGUUGCUGCUUUCUGAGGCAAGU